rnacentral:rRNA from 1 species
UACGUAGGGGGCAAGCGUUUGUCCGGAAUCAUUGGGCGUAAAGCGCGUGUAGGCGGCCACGCAGGUCCGUUGUGAAAACUGGAGGCUCAACCUCCAGCUGUCGACGGAAACCGUGUGGCUAGAGUCCGGAAGAGGAGAGUGGAAUUCCUGGUGUAGCGGUGAAAUGCGCAGAUAUCAGGAGGAACACCGGUGGCGAAGGCGGGUCUCUGGGCCGAUACUGACGCUGAGGAGCGAAAGCGUGGGGAGCGAACGG